rnacentral:ncRNA from 2 species
GGCUCGCUGCCAAAUUUCGCAGCUAACGAGGGCGUGGCUGUCCCGUCGUUUCCAAGACCCCAUAAGCCAGCCAACUUCUCCAGUUACGGAGCGAGCCCCUC